rnacentral:rRNA from 1 species
UUGCUGGAACGCUUGCAUCUGCAGGACGAUGAGCGGGAUAAUCUUGUCUGGGAGGAGGAGGCGGAGGAUCCAGAGGAGAAACCGAAGUGGCUCGCGCUGGCUAGGGUUCUGACCACAAAAUCCUUUAGUCAGGGGGCCUUGAUCGCGGACAUGAAAGCAGCAUGGAACCCCGCGAGGGAUGUAGUCUGGAGAAGGAUAAAUUCCAACCUGUUCUCGAUACAGUUCAAUUGUCUGGCGGAUUGG